UAUAUAUUAGCAUAUCAACAAACAUUUGGCACAACAUCAUAAUCUGAUUUUGUAUCGUACAUUCCAUCAUUAAAAAUUCAUAAUAGGCUGAAGACAAAUUGACUGGACUAAUUUAUUUUCAUCAAAUUAACAACUAUAAUAAAAACAACUAUUGUUACUGGUUUUGCUUUCCUCCUAAAGAAAUGGUAAACAAUUCAUAUAAUGUUGAACAACGAACCAUGGAAACAACAUAAUGUUUUAGAUUGCUUUAAAUAUUUUAAUAUGUGUGUGAUUGUCCUUUUUUGUAAAGUUUCAACUUUAUCUUUUAAUCUCAUGACUAAUGUCUUGAAAAAGAAUUAAAGCAAUUCGAAA
rnacentral:lncRNA from 1 species